rnacentral:rRNA from 1 species
AUUGAACGCUAGCGGGAUGCUUUACACAUGCAAGUCGAACGGCAGCGCGGACUUCGGUCUGGCGGCGAGUGGCGAACGGGUGAGUAAUGUAUCGGAACGUGCCCAGUAGCGGGGGAUAACUACGCGAAAGCGUAGCUAAUACCGCAUACGCCCUACGGGGGAAAGCAGGGGAUCGUAAGACCUUGCACUAUUGGAGCGGCCGAUAUCGGAUUAGCUAGUUGGUGAGGUAACGGCUCACCAAGGCGACGAUCCGUAGCUGGUUUGAGAGGACGACCAGCCACACUGGGACUGAGACGCGGCCCAGACUCCUACGGGAGGCAGCAGUGGGGAAUUUUGGACAAUGGGGGCAACCCUGAUCCAGCCAUCCCGCGUGUGCGAUGAAGGCCUUCGGGUUGUAAAGCACUUUUGGCAGGAAAGAAACGUCGCGGGCUAAUACCCCGUGGAACUGACGGUACCUGCAGAAUAAGCACCGGCUAACUACGUG